AGUCGACGGGGAUACGUUUUCGGAUGUAUUCUAGUGGCGCANNNGNNNNNUAANNNGUGAGCGACCUGACCCAAAGAGGGGGAUAACAUCGAGAAAUCGAUGCUAAUACCGCAUAAGACCACGGUAUCGCAUGGUACAGAGGUCAAAGGAGCAAUCCGCUUUGGGAGGGGCUCGCGUCCCAUUAGAUAGUAGGCGGGGUAACGGCCCACCUAGUCAACGAUGGGUAGCCGAGCUGAGAGGCUGAUCGGCCACACUGGAACUGAGACACGGUCCAGACUCCUACGGGAGGCAGCAGUGGGGAAUAUUGGGCAAUGGGCGAAAGCCUGACCCAGCAACGCCGCGUGAGGGAAGAAGGUUUUCGGAUUGUAAACCUCUGUCGCAGAUGACGAAGGAAGUGACGGUAAUCUGUGAGGAAGCCCCGGCUAACUACGUGCCAGCAGCCGUGGUAAUACGUAGGGGGCGAGCGUUGUCCGGAAUUACUGGGCGUAAAGGGUGCGUAGGCGGUUGAUUAAGUUGGAUGUGAAAUACCCGGGCUUAACCUGGGGGGUGCAUUCAAAACUGGUCAACUAGAGUUCAGGAGAGGGAAGCGGAAUUCCUAGUGUAGCGGUGAAAUGCGUAGAUAUUAGGAGGAACACCAGUGGCGAAGGCGGCUUUCUGGACUGACACUGACGCUGAGGCACGAAAGCGUGGGGAGCAAACAGGAUUAGAUACCCUGGUAGUCCACGCGGUAAACGAUGAAUACUAGGUGUAGGGGGUAUCAACUCCCUCUGUGCCGCAGCAAACGCAA
rnacentral:rRNA from 1 species